UACGAAGGGGGCUAGCGUUGCUCGGAAUCACUGGGCGUAAAGCGCACGUAGGCGGAUCUUUAAGUCAGGGGUGAAAUCCCGAGGCUCAACCUCGGAACUGCCCUUGAUACUGGGGAUCUCGAGUCCGGAAGGGGCGAGUGGAAUUCCUGGUGUAGCGGUGAAAUGCGCAGAUAUCAGGAGGAACACCGAUGGCGAAGGCAGCUCGCUGGAACGGUACUGACGCUGAGGCGCGAAAGCGUGGGGAGCGAACAGG
rnacentral:rRNA from 1 species